rnacentral:rRNA from 1 species
AUUGAACGCUGGCGGCAUGCCUAACACAUGCAAGUCGAACGGAGAUAGGGGCAACCUUAUUUCAGUGGCGGACGGGUGAGGAAUGCGUCGGAAUCUGCCCUAUGGUGGGGGAUAACACAGGGAAACUUGUGCUAAUACCGCAUAAUGUCGAGAGACCAAAGCAGGGGACCGCAAGGCCUUGCGCGAUAGGAUGAGCCGACGCCCGAUUAGCUUGUUGGUAGGGUAAUGGCCUACCAAGGCGACGAUCGGUAGCUGGUCUGAGAGGAUGAUCAGCCACACUGGAACUGAGACACGGUCCAGACUCCUACGGGAGGCAGCAGUGGGGAAUAUUGCGCAAUGGGCGAAAGCCUGACGCAGCAACGCCGCGUGGGUGAAGAAGGUCUUCGGAUCGUAAAGCCCUGUCAGGAGGGACGAAACAAAUGACGGUACCUCCAAAGGAAGCACUGGCUAACUCCGUGCCAGCAGCCGCGUAAAGUCUAG